rnacentral:rRNA from 1 species
CUACGUGCCAGCAGCCGCGGUAAUACGGAAGGUCCGGGCGUUAUCCGGAUUUAUUGGGUUUAAAGGGAGCGUAGGCCGGAGAUUAAGUGUGUUGUGAAAUGUAGACGCUCAACGUCUGACUUGCAGCGCAUACUGGUUUCCUUGAGUACGCACAACGUUGGCGGAAUUCGUCGUGUAGCGGUGAAAUGCUUAGAUAUGACGAAGAACUCCGAUUGCGAAGGCAGCUGACGGGAGCGCAACUGACGCUUAAGCUCGAAGGUGCGGGUAUCGAACAGGAUUAGAUACCCUGGUAGUCCGCACAGUAAACGAUGGAUGCCCGCUGUUGGUACCUGGUAUCAGCGGCUAAGCGAAAGCAUUAAGCAUCCCACCUGGGGAGUACGCCGGCAACGGUGAAACUCAAAGGAAUUGACGGGGACCCGCACAAGCGGUGGAGCAUGUGGUUUAAUUCGACGCAACGCGAGGAACCUUACCAGCGUUUGACA